rfam:Atopobium rimae ATCC 49626 contig00003, whole genome shotgun sequence.
GCAAAUGUGUGCCGUCUACACACGUUUGCCGUCUGCUGAGCGCUGUCCGAUUUGACACAGGACAGCAGAGACGAGAGGA